CCGGCUUCUGCGGGCAGAGGAAGGGAGUGAGGAAGUGCGGUGAGCCGACCGGCCCUCCGGGGACUGAUGACUCCGCACCGAUAAUCCACUCGCUCCAGCUGCUUCCACCCACAGCCAAAAUGGAGACGCCUCGGAUGGUAAAACCAGCUCAGAGAAUCAAGGCCACUUCCCCCAAGAAAACAGCUGCCUGCCACAGAGCUGAAGUUCCUGAUCUACUACUAAAUUUCAAUAGUUUAUUUGCCUGUCUCCUUCAUGAUUUUUACCACCUAUUAUUUCUUCAUCAGGUUUCUUGAAAUCUAGUUUCCCAUCCCAGUCAGCAAUUGGCUGCAAGCCAUUAUCAUCUCUCAUGUUGAUGCCUACACUAGCCUCUAAACUGCCCUCUCCUGAACGUCUCUCCUACGUUCUGCAACUAUAGAUUACGUUAGAACAUACGCUAGAUCACAUCCCACAUCUGCUCAAAACUCCCAGGGCUCCCAUCACACUCAAAGGAAAAAUUAAGUCCUCCCUAUGGUCUACACUAACCUGCAUGUGGUCUGCACCCCCGUCCCUCUCUCAGCACUUACCUCUCUCUGACAUUAGCUAUUCUAACUCUCCCCUCAUCACCUGCAUUCUUGUUGCAAUAAUCUUGACUCCCAUCUUCUCUUACACCCACAUUUGCUUCAACAGCAAAGCUAGUCGACUUCCUGACUAGCCUCCACCUUGACCUGAUUCUCUAGCCUGUCAUACUUGGACUAUUGCAGUAGCCUCCUACCCAGUCUCUCUCUUUCACAUGUUCUAUUCUCCUGGCCUUUCUCUGCAUGUACUGCUGUCACUGCCUGGAGUGCUCUCUCUCCAAACAUCUGCAUAGUUCAUUCCUUCCUUUUAGGUGACUCCUUCCCUCAUCUCCUACUAGCCUCAGCAGAGGGCUUCCCUGACACCCAUCCAAAACAACCUCCUUCAUGCAACCACUUUUUUUUCUUUCCUGGAAAGUAUUAAUCAUAACCUGAUACUAUAUUA